rnacentral:rRNA from 1 species
AAGCGGUGGAUGAUGUGGUUAAUUCGAUGCAACGCGAAAACCUUACCCACCUUUGACAUGUACGGAAUCCUUUAGAGAUAGAGGAGUGCUCGAAAGAGAGCCGUAACACAGGUGCUGCAUGGCUGUCGUCAGCUCGUGUCGUGAGAUGUUGGGUUAAGUCCCGCAACGAGCGCAACCCUUGUCAUUAGUUGCUACAUUCAGUUGGGCACUCUAAUGAGACUGCCGGUGACAAACCGGAGGAAGGUGGGGAUGACGUCAAGUCCUCAUGGCCCUUAUAGGUGGGGCUACACACGUCAUACAAUGGAUGGUACAAAGGGUCGCCAACCCGCGAGGGGGAGCCAAUCCCAUAAAGCCAUUCGUAGUCCGGAUCGCAGUCUGCAACUCGACUGCGUGAAGUCGGAAUCGCUAGUAAUCGCGGAUCAGCAUGUCGCGGUGAAUACGUUCCCGGGUCUU